AAGGGACUGUGGUCUGAUCAUGCCCCUUGGGGGGCUGUUUCCCCUCUUUCUUUCUCUGGUAAGUCCACAUGCCUUCUGACAAUUAAGAAAAGACUUAAAUGCCUCUGAAGUAAAGAAGCCACCGGCCCACCUCUGAGGGCCCAGGAGGACUGGGGCGACACCUCCUCAAGCCGCCCUGUGAUGCCUUCCUUCCUUCCUUGCCGUCUCCCUGCCAGUCCCAUGUGGCCCCUCCUGGGCAUAGGACGCUCCAAGCACAUCACUGCUCGCCCAGCCUUGAACCAGGUUCCUCGGGAGGGCUUCCACCUGGGACGAGGCUCCGUCAUCUGCCAGCGGGCACAGUUAGGGACAAAGGCAACGAAGCAUCCCGGACCUUCCGCGCAAUGGCAGAUGGACAAUGACCUAGGGUCAGAAAUGGCUGUCGAACGAGACCUCUGCCCCCUGCGGCAUCCCCUGGUCGUCAUGGCAGAACGCAGCUCCUCCUGGGGUCAGGGAAGACGCGUCACCCCCCCACCCCCGGGCUGUGGGUGUCUGUGCCUCGUGUCGAGAAGUCACACUCUCAGACUUCCUCGGACCUUUCGGACUGGGUGAAGCACUUCCGAGGAGCUUGGGUCAUACCUGGAAAACGGGACAAGCUGCAGCACCCGCCCUGCAAUUGUAUAAAGCCCAGUCCUCAGUUAAGUAAGCAACGUCUCAACAGUUACCGGACUUUUUCUAACGGACGAAGAUCAAUUGCACUUCAAAAAAAAGCCAUAGUUAUCCAGAGUUAAAGUUCAGAAGUAUCAAAUCAGAAGAUAUUCCUCAUCUCUUCUCCAAGGCCACUCAACGCCAGAGGCAGGCAUAAGGGUUCUAGAAUCUUCUGCUGCAUAGUAACCAAAGGACAAACCUCAGGAUACGAACAUUUAUUUCUGGUGGAAUGAUUCUCAGGCCACAAACUCAGGCCACCGUGGUUACGGCUCCUCCGAGGCCCCGCACUUUGCUGAAGAAUAACUCCGGCUGCCGAGGGCCACCCCCUCUCAUGCAUUCCUGAAGGCAUCAACACCCAUGGCGACCAAAGCACCCUAACUGAAGUGUGUACCCCACGGGUGACAGGAGUCCACGGAGCAUGCGCUGUUCCACGGCCCGCCACUCAGAGCAGCCCACGGUGCUCACCCAUGGUGAGAGGGUAAACCGUGGGCAUCUAUCCGCCAGCCAUCGCGAGGGGUCGCAUUGCCACAGCCCCGGCAUGGGCGAGCCCUGAGAUACCACACUAAGUGACAAGAAGCCGGACACAAAAGGCCCCAUCCUGUCCGACCCCACUGAUGGGACUCGUCCGAACAGACAGAAAGGAAAACGGCGAGAACGAGGCAGAGGUUACACAGCCGGCAGGCCGCCAGCCCUCCCAUUCCUGGGUAUACACCGCAGAGGGAUGGAGACGCACGACGUGACAACGUGUACACAGCCGGCACAAAGGAUACACGUGUCCGCACCGGUGGGUACGGGCAGACGGCAGUCCACCCGGGGACAGCGGACGGAGCACAGGCCCCGUGACUACACGGAUGACCACGACACGGGAUGCCGAGUGCAAGCAGCAGACCCAGGCCGUGAGUGUCGCCUCCCUGUCCACUGCCAAGGACGGGCAGACUCGGGGGUGGCGAGCAGGUGAGCGGCCGCCAGGGCUGGGGCUGGGAACUGGGGAGUGACCGCGCUGAGGCGGUGAGGACGCCCAGAGGCUAGGAGGCUCCUAAAAACCACCGAGUGGUGACUUCAGGUGCUAAGGGAGUUAAGUUUCAGUAAAUCUGAGGCCAAAAAGGUCAGGAAUGUUGUGGGUGAAAAAGAAGUUGCCUGGGAUUUGCUAUUUUUUCCCUUUUUGUGUGUGCCAUAGGGUGCAUGCGCUUGCCACAGAGACCCAGAGGGAGAGAGUGAGAAUUCACCCCACCAGCCCUUCUCCCCCACCCUGUUCUUGAGACUGGGGCGCGCAGCUGGAGAAACACUGGCCGCAUGUGUGCCUGCCCGAAAGGGCGAGAGACAUGGCCCUGCGUGAGAAAAUCUCUCUCAGCGCCUGCACCCUCUGCCCAGCAGACAGCCUUACGGACGGUCUCCAGCCUCCGAAAGCGUGCCCAGGUGCCGGGGUGAGCUGGAAGCCCUGUCACUGACGCCACGCCCGGGCUCCAACGCUGCUUCCAUGGGAUCCCACCGCGCGACAGCCAUCCUGUCCCAGGGAUUUGCAGCAGGGUCGAUUCCCCUUCCCUGGCCGGGGAAACCUUUCCAAUCACCCGGUGCACGGACACAGCAGCGGUGUAGACAGAUUGCCGGCAUUCCCACCACAGCCAACGGUGAGACUCUGGAAUGAAGGACAUUUUUUUCUUUAAACGAAAGACUUUGUCAAGGCUUAUGGCGAAGCAGCUUUGAAUAACCCUGUAAUUCACUCCCGCCCGGGCCCCAGAAUGAAGGAAAGGCCCGUGCAGGCGGCGAGGCGGGCGCUGCGGUCUCUCCUGCUCAGGUGCACUUAGGCGGGACGUCAUAAAUGGGUUGGAAGCAGUCUUCACCCGAGGCAGAACCAGCCUCAUUACCAAGGAAGGAAAUGUCUCCUGUCUUUCGCUGUCAGUUUUGUCAAUUUUGCCCGAAGCUGCAGAAGCAAUGUUUUCCUUACUAUGCAGCAGCGCGAAGCUUGCUCUCCUUUGCUUUGGGAAGCCUGCACCCCAGUGUGGGGCCGGAAUGCAGCAGCUGACCUCUGUGGUGGGGGCAGGCCCCUGCGGAGCUCAGCUGGGCGCCCUGAGACACCUGGCUCGGACAAGUUUGCAAUCGUGUCCAGGUUACCGGGUCCUUUACCCCCUCUUUGCUUUCUCCAGAGAGAGGAAAGACACUGGCCGGUGCUCCUAGGCAGCCGGGGGUUAGUUAGGCUCCCGCAGUAAGGCGCGUCCCGUGCACAGACCUCAGCCCGGGGGAGCGUGGAAGCGCACUGAGAGGAGGGAAGCCUCUGAGGCCCGGGCCUCACCGACCGCGGACACGGAGUAAGGAAGCCACAACGACAGCUCCACUGACGCUGUUGGCAGCCUUGCUACAGGGAACCCCGAGCACAGCCCCCUUGGGGGAAGAAGCCAGCCAGGCAGGGGAGCGCCAUUUCUGUGAACUGCCAGAGAGAGGCAGAGCGGCAGGCGGAAAGCAGGCCCUUGACCCGGGGACCGGAGGGGACGCAGCGGCGUCCUGCAGGGCAGUGGUGAUGUCCUAGCAGCACGCUGGGAGCGCAGCAGGGACAGACCAGCACAUGGAGCUGCCCCGUGCAGGGAGCGAGCCAGGCCGGGAACUCAGCUCCGCAGGGCUGAUCGGUGACAACUACGGUGGAAGCCGCGUGAAUUGUGGCUGGGGAGCCCGCUGCCCCAGGACCCGGGGACAGGAGGGAGGACGGAUGGGACAAGGCCACCUGCAGGCUGUGGGGGGUCCCUUCCAGCGCUCCCAGCCUCCCCACCCUCACAUCCUGGUCCCGGCCCACCCCACAUGGGACCUCCUGCUCCCCCGUCCCACGAGUGCCCUCCUCUGAGGGAAAGCGGAGGAUGGCUCCCCACCCCACCGCACCCUGCACCCCGCAGGUCGGACCGUCAUCACCGGGGAGAGAAUACACUUUCCCAUUUCAAAGGGCCGCGGGCCGCUGACGCCUGCCUUCCGGACAUUGGGAGCACGUACAAUGCUUUGAGGGAUGAAAGUGGACGACUCGAGGUCUGCGUCCAAUAAAGUCAUUUCCUUUUUACUACGAAGCAGUUUGGGCUGAGAGAAGCUGCGAUCUUAUCCCUCUGGUCAAGGACAGCCUAAGGCUCUCGGGUCUCCAAGCCGUCACCUACGAGUGUGGCCUGGCAGUGACUGUGUCUGCUGUCCCCAUUACGCCCUGCCCACGCCCCCCCUCCCCCCGGCUGUGACAUAGCCCAAGGUUGUCGUAGCCAGAGCGGCGGGGGGGGGGGG